rnacentral:rRNA from 1 species
CAGGUGAGCCUGCGGUUUAAUCGGACUCAACGCCGGGAAACUCACCAGAUAAGACAGCUGAAUGGUAGUCGGGCUGAAGACUCUACUUGACUAGCUGAGAGGAGGUGCAUGGCCGUCGUCAGUUCGUACUGUGAAGCAUCCUGUUAAGUCAGGCAACGAGCGAGACCCACGCCAACAGUUGCCAGCUCGUCCUCCGGGAUGGUGGGGACACUGUUGGGACCGCCUCUGCUAAAGAGGAGAAGGAAUGGGCAACGGUAGGUCAGCAUGCCCCGAAUUAUCUGGGCUACACGCGGGCUACAAUGGGUGGGACAAUGGGUAUCGACACCGAAAGGUGAAGGCAAUCUCCUAAACCCAUCCGUAGUUCGGAUUGUGGGCUGCAACUCGCCCACAUGAAGCUGGAAUCUGUAGUAAUCGUGUCUCAAAAUGGCACGGUGAAUAUGUCCCUGCUCCUU